rnacentral:tRNA from 1 species
GACCGUGUAGCUCAGUUGGCAGAGCAUUGGCCAAGUAUUCCAAAGGUCGUAGGUUCAAUUACCACCAUGGCCA